GAGUCCUCCAAUGCACAUGUGAAAAGAUACAAGGGUGCAUGCAUUAACUAGCUUAUGUAAUCAAGGCAUGUGCACUUUUUCAAUGCAAUAAAUGCAUAACGGUCACCUGGAGCGGCAGUUGGCGCAUUGAAUACCUGCUUUAAAUCUGUCAAUGGAAAUGUAGGGUCACAUAGAGGAUACUCAGUGCACAGAGAAAAAAAAGAUUUAAGCAUAUGAAAUGGUGACCACACAUCCCCUCUCUCCUCCAAUCAAACAUAAUCAUCCCAACGUAGCCCCCUCCGUAGUGCCAGCAGCCGUCUCCGGUGGCGGAGGCACCCCUAAACACCAAUCAAGAACCACUUCUAUGCCCUGAGUCCGAAAACAACAUUAAAAACUCCUAAUUCUCUAUGGUUUCCUCAAAUCGAGAGGAAAGAGUUAAGAUCCCUAAUUGAUAAAACGUGAAAUUAAACAGCAACGGAGGGGAAUCGAGCCACCUCACUCUAGGGCUUUUAUUCCCCUCAUGAAACUCUAUCUUUUAGCAACCUUAGAAUGCGAAACAGAAGAAUAUGGUUGGAGACUCGCCAGAAUGUUGGCCGGCUCCAGGAAUUUGGACUAAGAUGACUUGAUUUGUUGCUGAAGGCAUUAUUUGAUCAAUGAGGCUUGCUAAAUUAUGCUGAAGUCCAAGGUUUUAUAUUCUUGGCCUUGCUUGGAUACUACAUGGUUGAACCCAAAGUGGUGUAAAGGAUGUUGCUACCGUCAUGUGGUCUGCAAAAUGAUUCCCAUGGUGAUGGAAGAUUGGUGUAAAGGAUGGUGGGCCUUGAAGAUGGAAGUUGAUACUUGUAAUCAAAUUAGAUAUUGUGCAUUUAGAACUUGUACAACUUGUUUUAUUGAGAUGUAAUAACUAUUAAAAUUAUGCAUGCAACAUGAUCUUUGAUAACAUUUCAAUCAAUUUUCUCCAUAUUCAUUCCAUGCUAUCUAUGUAUAUGUGUAUGUAAAACUUCAUGUAAGACUCUAUGUAGGAUAAAUGAAGGUGGAAAUGGAUGAGUGAAUUCAAAGAUUUGAAUGAA